AGAUCAGAUCUAGAGAGAGGCCUUAGAGACAGAGAAAAAAAAUCAAGAAGGAGUUCUUGAUAUUUUUUGAUGGUUAGGAUCAAUCUUCAGGAUCCUAUACAGGGCUGUUUCAAGUGAUAUUAAGUAAAGGAUCCUGAUUCAAGCCAAAGAACGAAGCUUGCAAGGGAGCUAGCACCCCAAAAAUUUUAUCAUUCUGAUUAGAACAUCUUUGUGUGGAUACC
rnacentral:lncRNA from 1 species